rnacentral:tRNA from 1 species
CAAGUUAGAGCUGGAAUAAGUUUUUUAUUUACAUUAAAAAGGUAGUUGUGAAAAUCAAUUUAAUUUGA